rnacentral:rRNA from 1 species
CCACGAAAGCUGAGGAACAAACUGGGAUUAGAUACCCCACUAUGCUCAGCCGUAAACCCAGACAUCCAACUACAAUUAGACGUCCGCCCGGGUACUACGAGCAUUAGCUUGAAACCCAAAGGACCUGACGGUGCCUUAGACCCCCCUAGAGGAGCCUGUUCUAGAACCGAUAACCCUCGUUAAACCUCACCACUUCUAGCCAUCCCAGCCUAUAUACCGCCGUCGUCAGCUUACCCUGUGAAGGUGAUAAAAGUAAGCAAAAUGGGCACAACCCAGAACGUCAGGUCGAGGUGUAGCGUACGAAGCGGGAAGAAAUGGGCUACAUUUUCUACAAUAGAACACUACGGACAUGCAACAUGAAAUAGUGCUUGAAGGAGGAUUUAGUAGUAAAAAGGAAGCAGAGUGUCCUUUUGAACCCGGCUCUGAGGCGCGUACACACCGCCCGUCACUCUCCCCUGUCAAAAUGCAAUAAAG